GUUACUACAGGUAGGGGUUACUACAGGUAGGGGUUACUACAGGUAGGGGUUACUACAGGUUACUACAGGUAGGGGUUACUACAGGUAAUGACCCUCCUAGACAUGGGUUACUACAGGUAGGGGUUACUACAGGUAGGGGUUACUACAGGUAAUGACCCUCCUAGACCUGGGUUACUACAGGUAGGGGUUACUACAGGUAAUGACCCUCCUACACAUGGGGUACUACAGGUAGGGGUUACUACAGGUUACUACAGGUAGGGGUUACUACAGGUAAUGACCCUCCUACACCUGGGUUACUACAGGUAAUGACCCUCCUACACAUGGGUUACUACAGGUAGGGGUUACUACAGGUUACUACAGGUAGGGGUUACUACAGGUUACUACAGGUAGGGGUUACUACAGGUUACUACAGGUAGGGGUAACUACAUGUAGGGGUUACUACAGGUUACUACAGGUAGGGGUUACUACAGGUAGGGGUUACUACAGGUUACUACAGGUAGGGGUUACUACAGGUAGGGGUUACUACAGGUUACUACAGGUAGGGGUUACUACAGGUAGGGGUUACUACAGGUUACUACAGGUAGGGGUUACUACAGGUUAUUACAGGUAGGGGUUACUACAGGUUACUACAGGUAGGGGUUACUACAGGUUACUUCAGGUAGGGGUCACUAUAGGUAGGGGUUACUACAGUAAGGGGUUACUACAGGAAGCAGGAAGGCGUUGCUACAGCUACAGGUUACUACAGCUACAGGUUACUAUAGGAAGGCGUUACUACAGCUACAGGUUACUACAG